UUCAACAAAGCCGGCUAAAACAACAGCAAAACCAAACGAACCCAGCAGACUCCUAAUCCCUAGCGAAUCGAACCCACGCUGAAGCGAUCUCCCACGUGAUUUCCAAUGCUAACUACCAGUUCCGACUAAAUUCCUAACGGUUUUCACUCCUCGCAGCUUUGCUUCUCUAUUUAGGGCAAUGGUUUUAUUGUUUUUGGCUUCUUCUUUUUUUGAAAGCAAACGGUAACCUCUAUUUUCCUUUUUUCUUUUUCAAUUUUCGGGUACAAGACCAUUAAUGGCCUUUGUCUUCACUAAGAUUUCAAAUUUUCUCCAAAAAUUGAGUUGAAAUCCACAUUUCGGGUCCGUCCCACAUCGACCCAAGUUCUCAAAACCCUGCUGUUUGGAGUUCUAUUUAUAGAACCCCAUAUCCAACUUCCAGACCACGUUUUGAUACCCCUAAAAUCCCUAAUUUAUCAAUUACACAACUUCUAAGUUGAAAGUUCAAUAUUUUAGUUUUAGUUCUCUAAGUUUGGUGGUGAAAUAGAUUCGCAACUCGACGCUGCACCCGUUCGCUGACCUACAACAAGUUUAUAUAAUUGAGAAGAGCUUUGGAAGAAACCAAGUGAAAAACAAGUCAAACAGAGGCCAAAUUGAAGAGAUGACAAAAAAACUAUACAGUUUUGCAAAAACUGUACAAAACUGUCCAGUUUUGCAAAUUCUAAAAUCUGAAAAUAUGGAGGCUGUUUUUUGUCAUAUUUUGAUGGGGAAAAUUUUUGAACUAUAAAAGCAAGACUUGGGCAAAAUAUCUAUCAUCUUUGGCCACAUUUAGCUUGGAAGCUAGGGUUCAUCAUCAACCACACCAUUGGAAGAGAAGAUUGAAGUGCUUCAAUGAGAAAACUCUUAACCCUUUCUUCAAUUCCUUAUUAGAUUGCAUAUUUAAGUGUGUUGGAUUUUAUUCUCUCACUUGAAUAUUGUUUAUGAGAAUAUUCAUUAUCAAGUUUUGGAUGAAACUCUUGUUAUGCCUAUGUAUUGAAUGAUGUUUAUCUCUAAUGAAGUGGGUCAUUGUUUCUUUAAU